CCCGGGAGGGGAGUGAAAUAGAACCUGAAACCCUGCACUUACAAGCUGUGGAAGCACAUUUCUUGUGUGACCGCGUACUUUUUGUAGAACGGGCCAACGAGUUACGUUAAGUAGCAAGGUUAAGCACGUAAGGUGCGGAGCCGUAGCGAAAGCGAGUUUUAACUGAGCGUUCAGUUACUUGACGUAGACCCGAAACCGGGCGACCUACCCAUGAGCAGGAUGAAGCGAAAGUAAAA
rnacentral:rRNA from 1 species